GGGGCUGUACUGGCUUCGACGGGAGAUGACGAUUUCUUUGUAAGCGUAUCAAGUUCGCCCGGCCUUGUAAAAACGAGCAACUUAAAUUUAAACGCUAAAAACGAAAAUUUAGCUUUUGCAGCGUAAGCUGUAAACUUCCUACCUGCUGCGCCUGAGGUGCGGGAUAGGGAGCCAAAUCAUCAGGCUACCGACGACCGAUUGAGAAAUACGCCGCCGGGAAACCAAUUUCUCUCGCAGUGAGCAAGUAUGAUUGUGGACGUGCCAGCUGUUAAAUCAAAACACAAUCUACAUACGUAGAAAGCUUAGCGGUCGGUCUUUCGGACAGGGGUUCGACUCCCCUCAGCUCCAG
rnacentral:tmRNA from 1 species